ACACUUUCCUCAACAUGGGAGACGCCAUCGACCAGCUGACGUAUGAGAGAGACCUGAACCGCUACUACUGCGAGCAGUUCAAGGCUUUCAUUGAGGCAGCAGCUGCAGCCGCCGCAGAGCCAGCCCCAGCUGCCGCACCGGCACCAGACCAGGCCCCACCUCCACCACAGGAUCAGGAGGUGGUACCUCAGGAGGAGGAGGAGCCCCAGGAGGUCCACGAGAUGGACACCCCUGCCACCAACACCCGCUCCAAGAGGAAGAGGG
rnacentral:lncRNA from 1 species